GAGCGAGUUCCAUCUCCAUUCAUAGAAAGUACCUCAGAGAGCACUCAUGAUAAUUAACAAUUAUGGGGGGGGGAACUGUCACUUGUCCAAAAGUCAAUCCAUUUAUCCAGGCCUUUACGGGAGGAGGAGAUUGUUGGGGGAGGGUUUUCUGCAGAGGACUGUCAUCUGGAGAGAAUUUGGACACAAACCAAAACAGAUUUGUUGAUUCAUAAGCACUAGAUAUAUUUAGAGUCUCCUGGGAUGUCUUUGCAGGCGUCAUUGAUAGUUUGGUCUUUGUUUUCAUCGUGAAAUUCUAAUGUUUUUUUUAAUUGUUUCUUUUCAUCUGUUCUUCUACGAAGGGAUGUUGUUAAAAUAUGCACUUAGAUCUCAAAAGGAGACCAGCAAACAAAGAAUUCCCUAAACGGGAUCAAUAAUUUUUGGGGGAGUAAAAAGGGGUUUUUUUUUGUUGUUUUUUUAAUUAGAGGUUUUCAAAUCUCACUGUAGUCUAGUGAUGUGACUUGUUAUUAAAUUUCUCCCAAGUAACACUUACUGUACUGAGACCCCAACAUUCUUUAUGUCGGUCUUACCAACAGCAGCCGGUGGAAAUUUCUUUCAUUUAUAAAAGUCUUAAGACACUUUUCCUUCACUGCACUUUAUCUGCUUCAGCUGUCUUCUCUGAUUUCUUUGUGAGCUCAUUUUCCCAGACCAACCUGAAGAGAUAAGCAGGAAUUCUUGGAAUCAAGGUCCCGCUUUCCCUGAAUGUGGACACAAGGAGAUGAGAUUACAGACGGCACAUUCAGAUACACAUCUCACGUGCUGCAGUCGGGCAUAAAUUUAAAGAGCAGACUCGAGGUAAGGUAGCUGUUCAGGUAUCAAACUGCUUGCUGGAAAAUGCCAUUUGCUGUGAGGAUUGGUUAUUAUUUAUUUUUUUAAAGCUCUGAAAGAGACUGAGCUUCCAGCAACCAACAACAAUACUGUGACACCAAAACAGCUCACAACAAAGCGCAUCAACACACGUAAAGCCACGGCGUCACAAGAAUAACGUACAGUAAAAAUAUAAACAUUACAACAUUAACAUUAAACAAACACUAUCUGGCAGAGUAUUUCUAACAGUAAUGCAGCAAAUAAUCAAGCCAAAGGAAUUUUCACUUUAAGACUUAUAUUUUUAAAACUAUGUUAUGGCAAAGAAGGAAGUGAAUUGCAUUUUAGGAUACCCACUUUUGAAGACAAAUUCAAAUAACCCUGAAGUGAUUAAAUCACAUUUUAAACUAUUUUUACAAGUUAAUAAAAAC
ensembl:lncRNA